CCAAACUGUUGCCUCGGCGGGAUCUCUGCCCCGGGUGCGUCGCAGCCCCGGACCAAGGCGCCCGCCGGAGGACCAACCAAAACUCUUUUUGUAUACCCCCUCGCGGGUUUUUUAUAAUCUGAGCCUUCUCGGCGCCUCUCGUAGGCGUUUCGAAAAUGAAUCAAAACUUUCAACAACGGAUCUCUUGGUUCUGGCAUCGAUGAAGAACGCAGCGAAAUGCGAUAAGUAAUGUGAAUUGCAGAAUUCAGUGAAUCAUCGAAUCUUUGAACGCACAUUGCGCCCGCCAGUAUUCUGGCGGGCAUGCCUGUCCGAGCGUCAUUUCAACCCUCGAACCCCUCCGGGGGGUCGGCGUUGGGGAUCGGCCCUGCCUUUUGGCGGUGGCCGUCUCCGAAAUACAGUGGCGGUCUCGCCGCAGCCUCUCCUGCGCAGUAGUUUGCACACUCGCAUCGGGAGCGCGGCGCGUCCACAGCCGUUAAACACCCAACUUCUGAAAUGUUGACCUCGGAUCAGGUAGGAAUACCCGCUGAACUUAAGCAUAUCAAUAAGCCGGAGGAA
rnacentral:rRNA from 1 species